AUGCAGGAGGAGGAGUCCCAGCGGCAGAGCUCCAUGGGAGGCGCAGCUAUGCGCGGUGGACGAGCAGGACGAGCAGGAGGCUCGCGGGGCCUCGGGCGCAGCGUGCAGAGGAGGCAGCGGCGCGGCUCUGGAGCAUGGCAGGAGGAGGAGAGGAGGAAGGAGAUCGAGAAGAGGAGGUUGGCGGCGCUGGGAGAUCAAAGAAAGAGGAGGGGGAUCGAGCAAGUCCUCCUGGCUCGAUGCGUGCGUUGA
rnacentral:rRNA from 1 species